GCAUAUCAAUAAGCGGAGGAAAAGAAACUAACUAGGAUUGGUCUAGUAACGGCGAGUAAAUUGCCAUGAGCUCAGUAUGUAAAUCGCCACUAGUGAUGAAUUGUGGUGUGUAGGUCAUUUUGUUCAGUUGAUAGACUAACUCCCAUGUGUCUGUUAGCAUGUGAACUGACCAACGAGUCGAGUUGUUUGGGAAU
rnacentral:rRNA from 1 species